GCCUGGGUGGCUCAGUCGGUUAAGCGUCUGACUUUAGCUCAGGCCAUGAUCUCUCAGUUCAUGAGUUCGAGCCCCACCUCGGGCU
rnacentral:tRNA from 1 species